rnacentral:rRNA from 1 species
GGAGGGUGCAAACGUUGUUCGGAAUCACUGGGCGUAAAGGGCGCGUAGGCGGACCUGUAAGUCGGGAGUGAAAACUCGGGGCUCAACCUCGAGCCUGCUUCCGAAACUGCAAGUCUUGAGGACUGGAGAGGAAAGUGGAAUUCCCGGUGUAGCGGUGGAAUGCGUAGAUAUCGGGAGGAACAUCGGUGGCGAAGGCGACUUUCUGGACAGUUCCUGACGCUGAGGCGCGAAAGCUAGGGGAGCAAACAGGAUUAGAUACCCUGGUAGUCCUAGCUGUAAACGAUGAGUGCUAGAUGGUGGAAGUUUCAACGCUUUCACUGUCGCAGCUAACGCAUUAAGCACUCCGCCUGGGGAGUACGGCCGCAAGGUUGAA